rnacentral:pre_miRNA from 1 species
AGUAGAAUUUCUGGGUUGUAUGGUAAGUACAUAUUUAAAAGAAAUUGCAAACCUGUUUUUCAAAAUGGCAGUACCAUCAUGCAUUCCCACCAGCAAU